UUUGAAUCUGGACCGCUGAUAGUUUCUUAUUUUUACCGUCCAUCGGUGUGUUUUAUAAAAGGGUCUGCCAUUUGGACGGUCCAGAUUCAUAAAACGGAGAGUGAACUACGUGUACUGUAUAGUUGAGAACUACUGUGUGUGUUGAACCUGCCAGCUUGGGAAGCGACCUCCAGCUGCCAUGGCCGUUCUUCUUGAUGUAAUCGACGAGGAUCUCAUCUUCUUCAGGCGUCCACGGCCCUUUCUUCAAUCCCUGCUUGUCACAGCAAGGAGCUCUUCCCAUUCUCUCUCUCUCUCUCUCUCUCUCUCUCUCUCUCUCUUCGAAAAUCAAAGGAGGCGGUGAUGAGAAGAUCGAUCGAUCGUAUCCAUUCUCAGAGGCAUAAA